rnacentral:rRNA from 1 species
UACGUAGGCAGCAAGCGUUGUUCGGAGUUACUGGGCGUAAAGGGUGUGUAGGCGGUUGGAUAAGAGUGGUGUGAAAUCUCCCGGCUCAACCGGGAGGGUGCGUCGAAUACUGAGGGACUAGAGUACGGGAGAGGAAAGUGGAAUUCCUGGUGUAGCGGUGAAAUGCGUAGAUAUCAGGAGGAACACCGGUGGUGUAGACGGCUUCCUGGACCGUAACUGACGCUGAGACACGAAAGCGUGGGUAGCAAACAGG